GCCUGGGUGGCUCAGUCGGUUGAGCAUCCGACUUCGGCUCAGCUCAUGAUCUCACGGUUGGUGGGUUCGAGCCCCACGUCGGGCU
rnacentral:tRNA from 1 species